rnacentral:rRNA from 1 species
UACGUAGGGAGCGAGCGUUGUCCGGAAUCAUUGGGCGUAAAGAGCAUGUAGGUGGAUCAAUUAGUCUGCUGUGAAAGUCAAAGGCUCAACCUUUGAAAGCCGGUGGAUACUGUUGAUCUAGAGUACGGAAGAGGCUGAGUGGAAUUCCUGGUGUAGCGGUGAAUGCGCAGAUAUCAGGAGGAACACCAAUGCGAAGGCAGCUCACUGGGACGGUAUUGACACUGAGACGCGAAAGCGUGGGGAGCAAACAGG